rnacentral:rRNA from 1 species
CCACGGUUUGUGCGACGCAGCUAACGCAUUAAGCGCCCCGCAUGGGGAGUACGAUCGCAAGAUUAAAACUCAAAGGAAUUGACGGGGCCCCGCACAAGCAGCGGAGCAUGCGGCUUAAUUCGACGCAACGCGAAGAACCUUACCAAGGCUUGACAUAUACAGGAAUAUGGCAGAGAUGUCAUAGCCGCAAGGUCUGUAUACAGGUGGUGCAUGGUUGUCGUCAGCUCGUGUCGUGAGAUGUUGGGUUAAGUCCCGCAACGAGCGCAACCCUCGUUCUGUGUUGCCAGCAUUUAGUUGGGGACUCACAGGAGACUGCCGGGGUUAACUCGGAGGAAGGUGGGGAUGACGUCAAAUCAUCAUGCCCCUUAUGUCUUGGGCUGCACGCAUGCUACAAUGGCUGGUACAAACGGCUGCGAUACCGCAAGGUGGAGCGAAUCCGAUAAAGCCAGUCUCAGUUCGGAUUGGGGUCUGCAACUCGACCCCAUGAAGUCGGAGUUGCUAGUAAUCGUAGAUCAGCAACGCUACGGUGAAUACGUUCCCGGGGCUUGUACACACCGCCCGUCACAUCACGAAAGUCGGUAACACCCAAAGUCAGUGCC